UGCCAUCUUGGCCUUCACAGAAGAUAACCCUAUGGGGUGGCUCAGUUUGAACCAGGAAACCAUGCAUGAGUAACAAACUUCGCAAGUCUCAUGCUGGUGAUAGGAAGAGAAUAUCUGCAAGGCUCACCUUUCAGAAGACGGAAAAAAAGAAACAAAAAAAUUAUUUUUGUGAAUAAAGUCUGAGCAACUGGGGAGAAACUCAAGAGCCAUAUAUGUGACUAUAAAAUAAAACGAUAUUUAAAAGCGUAAUCCCUUGUAACUGAAAGGAAAUGGAAGAAAAAGGAUACUAACUGUGCAUCUGUGCAUGAGGAGGAACAAAUUUGGGUGGCUUCAGAACACAUUCAUUUGUCUGUUCAUCUGAAAUGAAGAAUUGCAAAAUGUAGAAAAUACUCCUAAACUGUUUUUAGUCUUCAGACUGUAGAAACUAGUGCAGUGACAUGAAUCUCUACUCCAUUCUACAUGGAAUAUUUCUGAUCUAAUUCUAAUAGCCCCUACAUUUCAAAAGAUGGAUACAAACACCAGAUGGAUGUUACAAGAAAAUUGGAUUGUUCUGCAGUGAAUGAUAUAUGGAAAGGCCUUUUCCCAACCAAGCAGUAGGCAAAAUUGUAACAGUAAUAUGUGUUGGAAAUAAAAUGGCUCAGGGAUCAGAGGUGACACUGACUCUUGUAAAGUGUGAAAUUGUUCCUUCUGUUGGGCAGAAUGUGGAUUAAACAAAGAAAGGAACAUGAACAGUUUGAUGUUUAUUAAUUAUAUUAUCUGCCUCAAUUCUCUAUCUGUAAUAUAGCAAUAAGAUUCUG
ensembl:lncRNA